CCUACGGGGGGCAGCAGUAGGGAAUGUUGCGCAAUGGGCGAAAGCCUGACGCAGCAACGCCGCGUGAUUGAUUAAGACCUUCGGGGUGUAAAGAUCUGUUAGUGGGGACGAAACGUGACGGUACCCACAGAGGAAGCAACGGCUAACUCCGGGCCAGCAGCCGCGGUAAUACGGAGGGUGCAAGCGUUGUCCGGAAUCAUUGGGCGUAAAGGGUUCGUAGGUGGCAUAUUAAGUCUGGUGUUAAAUGGAGAAGCUCAAACUCUGUUCGGCACUGGAUACUGGUAAGCUUGAGUGCGGUAGAGGUAAGGGGAAUGCCUGGUGUAGCGGUGAAAUGCGUAGAUAUCAGGAGGAACAUCGGUGGCGUAGGCGCUUUACUGGGCCGUAAUUGACACUGAGGAACGAAAGCCGGGGUAGCAAAUAGGAUUAGAUACCCCGGUAGUC
rnacentral:rRNA from 1 species